GACGAACGCUGGCGGCGUGCCUAAUACAUGCAAGUCGAACGGUCUUUUCUAUGGAAGCUUGCUUCCGCUGAGAAGAUAGUGGCGAACGGGUGAGUAACACGUGGGUAACCUGCCCAUAAGAGGGGGAUAACAUCCGGAAACGGGUGCUAAUGCCGCAGAGGUUUCUUGAUCGCAUGAUCGAGAAAGGAAAGACGGCCUUUGUGCUGUCGCUUAUGGAUGGACCCGCGGCGUAUUAGUUAGUUGGUGAGGUAACGGCUCACCAAGACGAUGAUACGUAGCCGACCUGAGAGGGUGAUCGGCCACAUUGGGACUGAGACACGGCCCAAACUCCUACGGGAGGCAGCAGUAGGGAAUCUUCCGCAAUGGACGAAAGUCUGACGGAGCAACGCCGCGUGAGUGAAGAAGGUUUUCGGAUCGUAAAACUCUGUUGUCAGAGAAGAACAAGUCGGAGAGUAACUGCUCCGGCCUUGACGGUAUCUGACCAGAAAGCCACGGCUAACUACGUGCCAGCCGCCGCCGUAACAC
rnacentral:rRNA from 1 species